rnacentral:rRNA from 1 species
GUGUCAGCAGCCGCGGUAAUACGAAGGGUGCAAACGUUGCUCGGAAUCAUUGGGCGUAAAGCGCACGUAGGCGGCUUCGCAAGUCGGAUGUGAAAUCCCACGGCUCAACCAUGGACGUGCAUCCGAAACUGUGAGGCUUGAGUAUGGAAGAGGGUCGCGGAAUUCCCGGUGUAGAGGUGAAAUUCGUAGAUAUCGGGAGGAACACCAGUGGCGAAGGCGGCGACCUGGGCCAAUACUGACGCUGAGGUGCGAAAGCGUGGGGAGCAAACAGGAUUAGAAACCCGCGUAGUCC